rnacentral:rRNA from 2 species
UCCGUAGGUGAACCUGCGGAGGGAUCAUUAU